GACUUCCUGAGCUGCUGCCUGCAGAGAGACGAGGCGCGGCGCUGGUCUGCCAAGGAGCUCCUGCAGAAUAAGUUGAAGAGUCACCUGUCCAUGCUUCAAGGGUUCUGCUGGAGUUGUGAACUGAUUUGCAAGGGAGCAGAAGAGUUUCAGCAGGCAAUUUUUGGAAGAGAUGGAAGCCUCUUGUGAAGGGAAAGCCAUUUGGAAUGAAGUAAUGAUCCCAAAGUCCAUACAAUUGUAUCUUUGUGUCUGAAUUUAAAUCAGAAUGAUUAUAGAUAGCUUCAUGCAAUUUGUCUACAAAUGUAUCAAAGUCUUCAUUCUUUCCUUGACAAAUCUGUGUAAAAGACAUAGUGUGUAACUUAUCUGGAAGUGCAAGAAAUGCAUUAUAUGCCAGUUUUUGGCUCAUCUGAAAGACUUGAUCAAUGCUCUUAGCCUGGGCAGUGGCAGUAGCUCAGGGCCCUUUGCCAAGUAUAACUGUUGUGCUGUUAAACCAUACAGAGGAUCACCCUGCACUCUAGGUCUUGCUGCUUCUUGAGCACACUUUUCCUCCCAGCUUUUAUGACACAUCACCUGCUGAUGGGGUGGCAUUCUAAGUCUUAUUUGGGUAUGCACAUCAGCUGGAAUUAAUGUGUUAGAUGGAAAAAUACACUGCAGAAGUGACUGUGCAAGUUGGGAUUUUCAAACAAAUUGUGAAAUUGCAGCUCUCAACUUUUUUAAAAUCUUCCAAUUGAAAGGUUUUCAAACUCUUCUUGCAGCAUUAGUUACUACAGGAAAAGCUUCUACAUCAUUGGAGAGAAAAGUCCCUUCCACAGUAACUUCUGCAAUAACUUUUUUUCUACUUUCGUUUCUCUUUUGUGGAGAUAAAGCUUGAUCUGCAAUUCCUGAGAAAGCAUUAGGAGGACCGUGCUAUUCUGGGAAAUGGACACUGUUUGCUCCUAGCAUUGAACAGAUGCUUGACAUCAGGCACAAAUUCCAACAUACAAAAUGUAGCAUGCAUCUAUUAGGCUCAGACUGCAAGGAUAAUGUAGAAUUGUGGAAUUGGCCUUCAUUUAAAUUGGCAUCACUUUUUACACCAGGAUUAACUUCAUCAAAUGUCCUUACAUAAUUCAAACAAUUGGCUUGUUGGACAGGAAAACAAAUUAACAUUACAUCUGCAAUACUGAAUGAGCUCACCACUGAUGUAGGUAGCAUAGGCCACGCUGUGUUAGAGGAUAGGGCUGCUAUAGAAUUUGUGUUGCUAGGGCAAGGAGAUGGGUGUGAAGAUUUUGAAGGGAUGUGUUGCAUGAGUUUCUCUGACCACUCUGAAUCUAUUCACAAGAAACUGUCAUUGGUUAAGGAGAAUAUGAAAAAGCUUACAGUGGCUGAGAAUUCUUUUGAUGAGUGGCUAAAAUCCUGGGGAAUAACAGGCUGGCUCAAGGACUUAGUAUGCUUUGGCAUUAUGUAUUCUUGGCUAUGUAAUUAAUAAAUAAUUCAAUGUAUUAUUGGCUUUGUAUUCUUUUUUCAAGUCUGCUUAUAGUGCCUUGCUUACUAUGCUAUGUGCAAAACGUACUUGAUCAUGCUUUUAAAUCAGUCUGGCUUGUGCAAAAACAAAACCAGGGAACUGUUGAGAGUUUUUUGCAGAUUGAGGAAUUUUUGUUAGACAAUGGCCAUAUUCAGCCGAUGCACAAUCCAGCCUGUUUUUACUAAUGGACAAUGGACACAUUCACAAACAAUGAAUAUUCAGAAAUGGGUUCGGAAUAUCCUUGAAAGAGAUAAAAGAAGAAGAAUCAUCAGGACUCAGCAAGUUGGUCAGAAAGUUUUGAAAAGUCAGAAAAAAGUGAGUCAUGAGUGGGCCAGACGAUCACAGCAAAACGUGUGAAAAAUUAGAUGAUCCAAUCAGCAUUCUAAUUUAGAUGUGCGAACAGCUAGGAUUAAUCAAUCAUGUAUUAGGUAGAGACGUGUGGACAGUAAAGAUUUAUUAUAAAUAUAGUCUUUUAAUGGAUAAUAAAUUUGUCUUCACUGCA